UUUUUAAAUAAAAAAUAUUAAUUAUAUUUAAUGGGGGUUAAAGUAUAUUAAUAGAAAAAAUUUUUAAAUUUAUAGAGAAAUAGUAUUGUAAAAGAAUUUUGAAAUAAAUGAAAAUUAAUUUAAUUAAAAGUAAUUUUUAUUUAAUGUAUCUUGUGUAUCAGAGUUUAUUAAAAAAAAUUUUUUGAAAGAGAAAUUCUCGAAUUUAAGAGAGAUAAUUAAUUAUAAAAGUUAUUGUUACAUAAAUAUUUUAAAUAAUUAAUUGGAAAUGAAAUGUUAAUCGUUCUUAAAUAUAUCUAGUUUUUUUAGAAAAAAAUUUAAUUUUAAAUUUAUUAAUUAAUAAAUUAAUUAAUUAAUUUAUUAAUUAAUAAAUUUUAUAUUUUAAGGGAUAAGCUUUAAUUUAAAUAAUAUAUAAUUAAAAUUAAAUAAUUUUUGAAAAUUAUAUAAUUUAUAUUGUUAAUAAAUUUUAAUUUAUUAUAAAUAAUUUCAAAAUUAAAUAAAAUUUAAUAAAAAUUUAUUUUUAUAUAAAAAAAUAAUUUUAAAUAAAAUUAAAUUAGUUAUAAUGAUAAAAUUAGUAUAUGGAAAUAAUUUAAUUUAAUAAAAAUUAUUUAAGUUAAUUAUUUUUAAGGAAUUCGGCAAAAAUUUAUAUUCACUUGUUUAUCAAAAACAUGUCUUUUUGAAAAUAAUAUAAAGUCUAAUCUGCCCACUGAUUUUAUAUUGAAGGGCUGCAGUAUUUUGACUGUACAAAGGUAGCAUAAUCAUUAGUCAUUUAAUUGAUGACUUGUAUGAAGGAUUGGAUGAAAUAUAAACUGUCUUAAAAGUAAAUUAUAGAAUUUAAUUUUUUAAUUAAAAAGUUAAAAUGAUCUAAAAAGACGAGAAGACCCUAUAGAGUUUUAUAGAUUUUUAAAUUAAAAUUAUUUAUAAAUAAAAAAUUUUUAAUUAAAAAAUUUAUUUUGUUGGGGUGAUAAAAAAAUAUAAAAAACUUUUUUUAAUUAUAAACAUAAAUAAGUGAAAAAAUGAUCCAGUUUUAUUGAUUAAAAGAAAAAAUUACCUUAGGGAUAACAGCGUAAUUUUUUUUUUUAGUUCAAAUAAGAAAAAAAGUUUGCGACCUCGAUGUUGGAUUAAGAUAAAAUUUAAAUGCAGAAGUUUAAAAUUUUGAUCUGUUCGAUCAUUAAAAUCUUACAUGAUCUGAGUUCAAACCGGUGUGAGCCAGGUUGGUUUCUAUCUUUUAAAAAAUAAAAUAUUUUAGUACGAAAGGAUCAAAUAUUUAAAUUAAAUUUAAAAAAGAAUUGAUUAUUAUUAAUU
rnacentral:rRNA from 1 species